rnacentral:rRNA from 1 species
UGGGAAAAGCUCAACUUUGAAAUCUGGCUGCUUUGCAGUCCGAGUUGUAGUUUCGAGAAGUGUUUUCCGCGGCAAUCCAUGUAUGAGUCUGUUGGAACACAGCGUCAUAGAGGGUGAGAACCCCGUUCAUGGCAUGGCUAUUGUUGCUUUGUGAUACACUUUCGAC